UCUUUGUUUUUUUUGCUCAGGUGAUUAUUUCUUGUACAUGGACAACAUUUGUAAAUACGCAUGUAUAUUCUUUUCCCCAAAAAGAGUUUUCUAUGUAAAAAUGUGUACAAAAAUUAUCCAUUCAUGAUGCUGAUGGGAAAUUGUGCAAAUUAGGUGAUGACGUCAUUUAGCGACUUUUAGGACAGCCAAUAGCGACUUUCCUUACUGAGGAGUUGGCAACACUGGCUUGUAGGAUAUCCUGGGCUGCACAUCAAUUUGAUUCAGGAGAUAGAUGGACCAGGAUAAGAAGUGUGAAGAAUUGGUGCCCACUAACUGUUGAUCAGCCUGUAGCUGGUCUACAGGCACCGUUGGAGGUGUGACAGGUAUCGGGGAUCCAACGCGUGACAGGGGGCAGCAAGUGCUGCUGCAGCUCCGCCUCAACUUGUCGAAAAGAAAAACAGUAAGAGUCAUUUAUGGAAGGUCUUUGCGUUCGAGGCGGGUGGUCAGGGAGUAAUACAUUCGCAAAAACCAGUAUGCAAACGGUGUCUUAGAACAUUCAAGACUAAAGGAAACCUCAAAAGACAAAACAUUCAGGUUUAUUUAAAUAAUUAAAAAAGUUUCAAUUCACGUGUUGACAACGUAUCCAAAGUGUUAUCCUUGUUGUAUUCUUAUCCUGAAAUACACAUUACCAUUAUUUUAGUUUGAGACAGCUGGCAUUGCUGAGUAGCCUAUCCAACUAUGUUCCAUACGACGUUUGCAAUGGCUCAAGGUUACUAUGUUAAGGCUACCGUAAUGUAAGCAUAGCUCGUAGUAGUAGGCUACCGUCCUUACUGUUCAGUCUGUGUCGUCUGUAAUCAAAAUAUAACGUUUGUGUUUUAAAUAAAUAUUUCUGGACUAAUGGUCAGUCACCAUGUCAGUAAAUGUACUGUUUGCACUAUGAGUAGAGGUCUAUUGGAUGGGAUGUUAAACAGGGAUCCUGACUGGUCACUACAGAUCCCAAGGCACUGAUAGUAUGAGUAUGGGUUUUCAACGAUGUCAUGGCAAAAUAUAAAAUAUGGGCCUCAAAACAACAUUGGUACCUAAUCCUAAUCAUCCCCAGUCUCCAAUGGGCACAUUCAUCCCCUCCUCCUAUUGUGACUAUUCCCCCAGGUUAUUGUUCUUAAUGAGAAUGUUCUCAGUCAACUUACCAGGUAAAAUAACAGGUUCUAUAACAAUCUACUUGGCAAAUGAAAACAUUUUAUUCAUGUGUAUUAAUUAGUCAACUCUUUACUGUUCCUGUCCAUCCCAUCAGUAACCAUAUCUGUCGGUUUAUUUAGAGCUCUGAUGCUGCAGACUACAGGUACUGGGUCUAAAGGGAGUUCAUAUCUCUAGGGUGGUGGACACUAUGGAUACCUCUAUCUGUGAAACAAGAUCUCUGCUCAUAUCAUCCACUCAUGGAGGGUAACUGAGUGGUAACCUUUCAUUUAGUGUUGGGCUGGUAACCGAAAUGUUGUCGUUUUAAAUUCCCCACCUGAAAGUUUUUAGUAUACCCUUGAGUAAGCAUAUAAACAUUCAGGGAGGGAGAGGUGAUUGGAAGAUGUAUGACAGCUAGCUGCUUGAGGAAAAUGUUUGUUAAAUUUACAAUUCAAGGGCUAGACAUUUUUAACUGCACAUUUGUGAUUGUUGAUUUCUUUCUUUGGCCAGUAAAUCUACAUUAUAUUGUCUCUUAUAUUAGCUGCACUGACCUCUGUUAAGACUUACCAUUUUAUUUCUUGCUUUCUUUUAGUCCUAGACACAUGAAGGUGCAGAGAGAAACACGAUACACAACUUGAGGAAACGGAGGACCGGACUACUUUCAGGGCAAGUCCUCCGGAGUCAGUUUACUGCUCCUAGUACCUCUGUAGUUCCAACCAAUCUCACACAAUCUAAAAACAACCCAUUGGUUUGGCACAAAUCUUCACUGGCUUCCAUAAUCGCUAAUAUUGCCCUUUUGUAUCCUCUUUAUGAAACAAUAACUAUUUUUCCUGUCUGGAUGGAUGCUGUCCUGUGGUUGGAUACAGCAUUGACAAACUCACUCAGGCAUUACCAUGGGACAUAUGAUCUGUAUGUGUG